rnacentral:lncRNA from 1 species
CCGAACUCAGUUCCCAUACGGCGCAGGGUGGAGGCCACACUCAGGUACAGCAUGAUUCAAUUUUUACUGGCGCAGAUCAUGAAGGCCUCUCAUGUUGAUCCCUCUAAUUUUCAUCCGCAGACAAACUAUUCUCGCCCAGUUGCUCCACUUUCUACAUCUGUCGCGCUCCCUUCAGUUGGAAGUGGAAUUGUCCCCGAGCUUAGUUCUUCCCACACGGCACAGACUGGUGCCCCACCAUCUGCUCAGAGUGUUCCGCCUCUAUAUCAACCUACUGCAUAUGGAUCAGGGCUUGCUGCGCCGGCGUAUCUGCAGGGAUUCUAUGCACCCACGGCCUCAGGUGGCUUGCCUCAUUUGCAGCAGCCACCAUCGCUCCGUCCUCUGGGCCAACCACCUGGCCUACCCUUGCCUCCUUCCAUGCAGCAGCCUCUGCAAUAUCCUGCUGUGAAUCCAUCAGUACCAUCUGGCUCUCACGAUUUACCUUCUGGUUCCCCAUAUUUACCUGGAGCGAGUGCAUCUCCAUCAUUCCCCAGCGCUUUGCCUAGGAUCAGCCCCUCUCCAUCGUCUCAUCCAAAUCUGCCUGGAAUCGGCGCACCGCAGUUGUCUGGAUCAAACAUGGCUUUGCCAUCUGUUUCCACUAACCUGCCCGAGUUUCCUCUGUGGCCACCUGCGGGCUCCGGCCAGAGUUUAACCUCUUCUAAGUUUCCAAGCUUCCCUGAGGCUACUAGUUUAGCUCUUGAUUCGUUACAUAGGCCCCCUUUCACCUCGUUGCCUUCAGCUGCUGCGCCUGUUGCUAGUUUGCCCCCCUUUCCAUCACCGUUAACCUCUCCUCUGGACUCCACAGUAGGCCCGGCCUCAGAGCCCAAGAGUAUUCCAGGUAUUGAUUUGGCUCAGCAAGCGGCAACAUCUCUGUCCGCCCCAAUGGCCUCUGGAUCAUCCAGUUCAGCCCUAACCGAGGCACCAGGGGCCUCUCUAUUGACGUCUGGUCAGCUGCUGCAACCUGGGCCAGCAGCUGUUUCGCCAGCGCAGCCAUCGCAGGUUCGGCAACAGAUCAUGGAGGUUAAUGCAGCGUCAGCAGGGCCGCAGAAGCAGGCUCCGCCAGAAAACAAGGAUGCGAUAUUGCCCUUGCCUGCGCCAUUUGACUACAAGGUACGCAAUUUUUUCUUUACGGCUUUCUCUUCCAUUAACGGGCUUGCUGCUCCUUCUCUGGUUCUUCAAAGAUCGUGAUUCCAUUCAAGUUGAAGAGCAUGCGAUAACGAUGAGAGAUUUGAUGGAGUAUGAUCCUCUCUCUUUCCAGCAGGCUGAAUUUGCUUCGCGCGGCCAUGCCGGCCACAGGCGACGUAGGGGAGGCAGAGGGAACACGGUACCCCCGUUUACUCCUCCCAUCCUCUCUCUUCCAUCGCAGGCUCCCCCAUGUCCAAAGUGGCUAUCAUCCCCGUUGACCUGUGUUUCUUCCCGCGCAGCUUGCUUCCAGUGCGACCCACUUCACGGAAGACUUUGACUUCACGGCGAUGAACGAGAAAUUCAACAAGGAUGAAGUGUGGGGCCACCUCGGCAAGGGCCAUUCUCCGACCGGGGACAACAACGAGGGCUAUCCCAAUGAGGAUCGUCCUGGAUCAUCGGAGCCCAAAACUAAGGCAAGAGAUGCCUUCUUAAACUAGUAACAAUCAUCAUUGCUGUUAUUAUUUUGGAGAAUUGACGUGAUAUCUCUGCCUCCUCCUCCUCCUGAAGCCGGUGUACGUGAAGGACGACUUCUUUGACUCGCUCUCCUGCAACGCAUUCGACCACGCCAGACGGAGGGAGAGAGGCAGGUUCUCUGAGAAGAUGAGGACGAACACUGAGGUAUGAACCCUACUCUCUCUCUCUCUCUCUACUUAAACCGUAUGAAGCUGGCUCCUAUGGUUUCCCUCUCCCAGACAUUUGGUGAAUUUUCGAGGCACCGCCCGGGCCGUGGCGGCGGCGGCGGCGGCGGGCGUGGCUACCGCGGUGGCGGUGGCGGCGGCGGUGGCGGUGGCGGUGGCGGUGGCCGGGGAAGGGGCUUCUUCUAUGGCAGGGGGAAUGAGUAUGUUGGGAGGGGCCAUGGUGGCCACGACCGCCCCGACUAGGAACAAUACUGAGAGAAUGCAUUUUAGGUGAGUGCUGUGAGAAGGAAAAAAAAGAAAGAAAAAGGAAGGAUAUAAGAACGGGGAAGAGUGGGCUGGAUCAUGCAUUCUGUUUCCUAAAGUUUUCUAUUUCCGGGUAGCCUGAGAGAUGCCUAGAAAGGCGUGCAAGCUGACCUUAUUACUCUCUGAACAAUCCACCUUGAGUCCUUUCUCCAUGGAAAAAAAUCAUUUUAGAAAAAAAAACAGCCCAAUAAUUAAAACUCUCUCUAUGGGGGGGGGGGGGAUGGUCUGUACUUUCUUUCUUUCUUUCUUUAUUUUUUAAUAUUUAAUUUAUGUGCAAUUUUAAUGCUCGUUGUCGUGUGGGCAUUUGAGGAGAAAAAUGUUUUCAGGUAGGCGACUUGUUUAUUUCUGCCAUUUAAGAGUGUUGAAAAGGCACAAUUAGAGAAAAACCCAGAUAAGGGGGGAGAAUUACAAAGUCGAGGCAAAUCUGAACCUAUUUUCACAUGUACUUCCGUCGGAGGAUAUAAUAUCAAUGAUUGUGAGACGGGGACGUAUGCACGUCGUCCCGUACGUACGUCCGUACAAAGAGCAGGGCAGCGUGAGGCUGUGUGCUGGUGAAGCUCC